AUACGGGGGGUGCAAGCGUUAUUCGGAUUUAUUGGGCGUAAAGGGCGCGUAGGCGGCUUGGUAAGUCAGAUGUGAAAGCCCGGGGCUUAACCCCGGAAGUGCAUUUGAAACUAUCAGGCUUGAGUAUGGGAGAGGGAAGUGGAAUUCCUGGUGUAGGGGUGAAAUUCGUAGAUAUCAGGAGGAACACCGGUGGCGAAGGCGACUUCCUGGACCAAUACUGACGCUGAGGCGCGAAGGCGUGGGGAGCAAACAGGAUUAGAAACCCCGGUAGUCC
rnacentral:rRNA from 1 species